ACGAUGAAGAGUUUGAUCCUGGCUCAGGAUGAACGCUAGCUACAGGCUUAACACAUGCAAGUCGAGGGGCAGCAUGGGUGUAGCAAUACACCUGAUGGCGACCGGCGCACGGGUGCGUAACGCGUAUCCAACCUGCCGUGUACUCCGGGAUAGCCCUCUGAAAGGAGGAUUAAUACCGGAUGUGGUUGUUCGAGGACAUCCUCUUACAAUUAAAGAUUCAUCGGUACACCGAUGGGGAUGCGUACGAUUAGGUAGUCGGCGGGGUAACGGCCCACCGAGCCUUCGAUCGUUAGGGGUUCUGAGAGGAAGGUCCCCCACAUAGGAACUGAGACACGGUCCUAACUCCUACGUGAGGCAGCAGUGAGGAAUAUUGGUCAAUGGGCGAGAGCCUGAACCAGCCAAGUAGCGUGAAGGAUGACUGCCCUACGGGUUGUAAACUUCUUU
rnacentral:rRNA from 1 species